UCUCAAAAACCUCUCCCUUUCUCAAACCCACGACCGAGCACUCCCAAACCGUGGAUUUUCUCUCGACCUCCCUCGACUUUCCUCGAGCUCCAUUGACCUCCUCCGCAGCCACAUCGGCGCCGAUGAGUUCCGACAGGCGUACGAGGCUGCGUCCCGACAACUCCCACAAGCAAACCCACUUCUAUCUCCUCCUCCACCCUAACAUUUCCUCUCUCCUCAAACACCACCACUUCCUCCUCUUUCUCCGCCGCCGCUUCCUCGACCGCCUCCACAGUGAAAAUUUGUGAUUUUGCAAAUUUUUGAUAGGGAGGGGAUACGACAUCUGAACGGAUCUACGGCUCAAGGACUGCAAAGAUGGAGACUCCUCUGCUUCGCAUUUGAUUGAGAUUGAUGAAGACGAUGGCCGCGAAAUCGUUUUGCCCGGUGGAAUUACAAUCUCGAAUGUUUCUAAAUCCAUCAAAUGCGAUAAAGGCGAGCGAAUGCGGUUUAGGUCCGAUGUUCUCUCUUUCCAACAGAUGUCAGAGCAGUUCAACCGGGAAAUUUCUUUGACUAGAAAAAUUCCUUCGGGCCUCUUCAAUGCAAUGUUUGAUUUCUCAGUUUGUUGGCAGAAAGAUGCAGCCAACAAUAAGACCCUUGCUUUUGAUGGGGUGUUCAUCACGCUAUACACUGUUGCAUUGGAAAAGUCUUAGAUGGUACUACGUGAGGAAAAGACAGAGAAAGGAGGACAGUUACUUCCAAACAAACAAUUGCAGAAACCAGACUUUCAUUGAUGAUUUCCAACUGAAAAGAAACAUGGGCAAGUUUUAUGGUCCUGAGAUAUAGGAGCAUCCACGAUUCUCUAGGUUAUUUGCCAAGGAAAAACAAGACACCCACGA